UACGUAGGGGGCAAGCGUUGUCCGGAUUUAUUGGGCGUAAAGAGCGUGUAGGCGGCUUUGCAAGUCCGUUGUGAAAACUCGAGGCUCAACCUCGAGACGCCGGUGGAAACUGCAAAGCUAGAGUCCGGAAGAGGAGAGUGGAAUUCCUGGUGUAGCGGUGAAAUGCGCAGAUAUCAGGAAGAACACCGUGGCGAAGGCGGCUCCUCUGGGACGGUACUGACGCUGAGACGCGAAAGCGUGGGGAGCGAACAGG
rnacentral:rRNA from 1 species